rnacentral:rRNA from 1 species
AGUGAGGAAUAUUGGUCAAUGGGCGGAAGCCUGAACCAGCCAUCCCGCGUGAAGGAAGAAGGCCUUAUGGGUUGUAAACUUCUUUUCUGUUUGAAGAAUAAGCUUGUCGAGACAAGUGAUGCCGGUAGGACAGGAAUAAGCAUCGGCUAACUCCGUGCCAGCAGCCGCGGUAAUACGGAGGAUGCAAGCGUUAUCCGGAUUUAUUGGGUUUAAAGGGUGCGCAGGUGGUUUAAUAAGUCAGUGGUGAAAAUCUGCCGCUUAACGGUAGGAUUGCCAUUGAUACUGUUGGACUUGAAUAUGGAUGAGGUAGGCGGAAUGUGUAGUGUAGCGGUGAAAUGCUUAGAUAUUACACAGAACACCGAUUGCGAAGGCAGCUUACUAAUCCAUGAUUGACGCUGAGGCACGAAAGCGUGGGGAUCAAACAGGAUUAGAUACCCUGGUAGUCCACGCUGUAAACGAUGAUCACUCGCUGUUUGCGAUAUACAGUAAGCGGCUAAGCGAAAGCGUUAAGUGAUCCACCUGGGGAGUACGAUCGCAAGGUUGAAACUCAAAGGAAUUGACGGGGGCCCGCACAAGCGGAGGAACAUGUGGUUUAAUUCGAUGAUACGCGAGGAACCUUACCUGGGCUUAAAUGGGGAGUGACAGCUGCUGAAAGGUGGUUUUCUUCGGACACUCUUCAAGGUGCUGCAUGGUUGUCGUCAGCUCGUGCCGUGAGGUGUCGGGUUAAGUCCCAUAACGAGCGCAACCCUUACUGUUAGUUGCCAGCGGGUAAAGCCGGGGACUCUAGCGGGACUGCCACCGUAAGGUGAGAGGAAGGUGGGGAUGACGUCAAAUCAGCACGGCCCUUAUGUCCAGGGCUACACACGUGUUACAAUGGCCGGUACAAAGGGCAGCUACACUGCGAAGUGAUGCUAAUCUCGAAAGCCGGUCCCAGUUCGGAUCGAAGUCUGCAACCCGACUUCGUGAAGUUGGAUUCGCUAGUAAUCGCGCAUCAGCCAUGGCGCGGUGAAUACGUUCCCGGGCCUUGUACACACCGCCCGUCAAGCCAUGGGAGCCGGGGGUACCUGAAGUCUGCAACCGCAAGGAGCGGCCUAGGGUAAAACUGGUGACUGGGGCU